rnacentral:misc_RNA from 1 species
GGAGAAAACUGCGUGGUCUCCUUAAUGAUUUCUGAUAUGUGGAUUAGGCUGGUGUCCCAAUCCUGCCUUCCUUGUCUAUAUAUACAUGUAAAUUUCCUGUGUUAAAGUAUACUUACAUGUAGCAAUGUGAAGGUGAUGUAUUAAGUACUCAUUAGUACUGAUGACAUACAUUAGGUAGAUUCCAAAAGAAUUCCACUAUACCAAGAGAUGUAGAUCCAUAGAAUGGGAAAAUCAUUCUUAAGAUAUUUAAAUACAUGUAUAUUCCUUUUAACUAUUGUUCUAAUUUCAAAAUGUUAGGUACAAGAAGAGAAUCAUACACAUGUUCAGAACCUGUAUAUAAUGCUUAAUAUUUCCCUGAUAAUUUGUCCAUUCAUGCAGAUGUACCUGCACAAGAUCACUAUUGAAAUGUUUCCUUUCUCCUCUCAUUUUGAUUACAAUCAUAGCAUUUCUCAUUUUAAUUUUGUUUAUUGAUGUUAAAAUCUUAUCUAAGAAAGAUUUUCAAUUUUGAGAAUUUUUAUUAUAGGUACCAUAAUUGUUUAUCCUAAAUAACUUACGGUGAAGUUGAAUGCGAUAUGAUUUAUUGCAACUGAUUUGGGUUAAUUUUGUGUGUAUCAUGAUGAAUUAAUGCUUGUUGUGUCUUUUAUACAUUACAUGUGUAUUUUGGCAAGAUGGCAUAUGAUUUAAUAUGCUUUUCUUUAAGUUUUAAAAUACUAUACUUUAUUGCAAUUAUGAUGCACCACUAAAAGUUUUGUAUUGCUGAACCCACUUGAGAUACAAAUUUUCUGGUAUUGAGUCAACAAAUACAAUAAUCAUAACAGUUUACA